CGAUUACCACGGUAGGCUUCACGACUGGGGUGAAGUCGUAACAAGGUAGCC
rnacentral:rRNA from 1 species